rnacentral:tRNA from 1 species
GGCGGCGUAGCUCAGGUGGUUAGAGCACACGGCUCAUAAUCGUGGGGUCGUCGGUUCGAGUCCGACCGCCGCUACCA